rnacentral:lncRNA from 1 species
GAUUCGGCUUGAUCUUCAUUCAACGAUAAACAUUAACUGGCUGUGUGGAUGCGUCAAAAUUCUGACAGGAGAGAAUUUGGGUACCUCUCAAGCCUUGGUAGCAGAAUAUCCUCCGUUCCUAAUCAAAGGGUGAGGCCCCAUUUGCAAAAUCUCCUUUUCCUUUGAAACAGCAAUUCCUUUCCACUCCUAAUCAACAAUUUACCAUAAAGGUCUAAGAACAUUGAUAAAUGAUUGAUUUUUUUAGAGGUUUGAUUUUCUAAUUGUACGUUUAGAGAAGAUUUUGUUGGAAGAAACAAAAUUUAUUUUAAUUAUUUUCACGUCUUGAGGAUUAGUCUCAGUUAUGGAGAUACAUUACUUCAAAAAUAAUAAUUUAAUUGAUUACAAAUGAUAGUAUUAUAUUUUUUUAAACUAAAAUUGAUUUAUAUUAAUUAAGAAAAUUAGUUAAUAUCAUUUAAUUUUAUUAAUUUCCUUUAAAAAGAAUCAUUUUUCCUAAACUAGCUUUUAUUAAAAUUUGAUAUCUAAAAUAAAAAAGAAUUUCAUUAGACUUUGGGCAUAACUCAACUAUGACAAGUCUUACUUCUGUUCCUUUUCAGUUGUAUGCAGAUACUUUUAUGACAUCUAUGUUAGAUAAGUAAGGAUGCUUGUGUUAGUCUUAUUGUUUUUGUUAUGCAUCUAUUAACUUUAGUACUUUACAUGUUAGCAUUAUUUUAUACCUACAUGGUUGAGAGUGGUACAACUCUGUAGCAUAAAUCAUCAGUGUAGCUGCCAGUUAUUAGUCUUCUUUCUUGUUGCUAAUCAAUCUUUCUCGAUGCUGAGAUUGAUGCAACAUAUACAAAGCCUUCCAACCAGAGCAAUCUUUUUAGCACUUAGCAGACCCCCCAUUAAAAAGGUGCGUGCUAGGAGGAAUAAGAGCAGGCACAAAGGGAAUUGUAUUGGGUUGGUUUCUGUUAUGCUCGAAUUGAGGUCUGUUGAACUUGUUAAUAGCUGUACUGUAUUAACAAGAGAUUUCAACCAAUAAGAGAGAGAGUUCAAUAGAGUAUGUCAGAGGGUGUGUUGUUAGCAUUUCCUGUAUUAACAAUUAGUUAGUUAGCUAGAGAUCCUAAACUGAAUCAUAAGAGAUCACUGGGAAAAAUGACAGGGUAUAAAUAGGAGUAGAGGUUUGUUUUUUAAAGAGUUAGAUUGGAUUUGUAGUAGUUUUUUUUUUUUAAUCAGCAAAAAUUUGGAGCGAAGAGGUUUGUUUUUAUAAUCAGCAAAAAAUUGGAGGUUGAAGGAUACUCAGGACUGUAGGAUUUCCUAGAGUUGUGAGACACACCUAUCUGCAGUUAUUGUUUUCCAUCUUCUGUUUUGAAUCUGCAAGCAUAUUAAUUCGGAUUCAGGGAGAAAAGUGAGAUUCAAGAAAAGUCUCAAUUCUUUUCUUUCUCUCAUUUGAUUCCUGUUAAAUUUCAUGGUUGUUUCUGGCUAGAUAUCCAAUUCUCAUUUUUUUUAAUUAGUUUCUUGAUCUUGAUGCUUAAUGCAUGUUUUUUAGUUGAACGUUGAUUUUUUGGCUCUCUCUCCCCACAAGAGGGUGCAAGUGUGCUUGCUAAAACUGUGCUGUCCAGGAUAAAAAUGGGAAGAUGCAUAGGGGCAGGAGAAAAG